GGAUUCAAAAACAACAUCAAAGAGAAAUAUAGAUUAACAUGUCUGACACCUUCCUCUGUUUCAGAUGAUACCAAGAUCGCACUGCACCUCAGAGACAACCAGGCACUUCCUGCAGAGAGCUCAGUCGACAGGAAGUCCCCUCCUCUCCACACUGGUCUGAUCCUUGGCAUCCUAUUGGUUACGCUGGUCAUGGUGGGCGGAGUUCUGAUCACCGUCUACGUUUACCACCACCCGACCUCCGCCGCCAGCCUCUUCCUCAUCGAGAGGCGUCCCAGCAGGUGGCCGGCGAUGAAGUUUCGUCGUGGUUCGGGACACCCGGCGUACGCUGAGGUGGAGCCGGUGGGUCCAGAGAAGGAGAUCUUCAUGGAGUCCGAUCAGUGCUGAGGGACGCCCCCCCCUCUCAGGAUCUGAGAACAAAGACUCGUUCAGUCUGGAAGAACAGCCGGAAGUGAAACCUGAAACUGAUCCCAGACCAGUGUGAUGAACUGGGAACAUGGGAGGGAAUGGGGGAGGGGGGGGGGAGGGGCAGGUAUUGUAUAGACUGGACACUGUAUGGUGGAGGGGAGCAGGGUGGUGAAUUAUACAAAAAUAUAUUUUCAGAGAUUUCAACCUGGUGGGGUUUGACUGUUUAGGCCUUUGUAUUUCCAUCCUUUCCCUUCAUCGUGUUGUUUUCACAGAGGGAGGGGCACAGCAGGAGAAAUUAUGAACGGACUGUUCCACUGCAGAGAGGCUGAGAGGCUGGGGGGGAUCAGUGGGACUGGGUUCAUUUUAGUGGGAGAUGGGUUUUUUUUUCUCAAUGGGUGAUGGGCACACUCUUUUCUACGGAGGGGGGCCACACAACUCAGCAGAAUUCUGAGAAAUGUCAGAAUAUGUCCGAAAAAAGUCUGAAUUGUACGAGAUAAGAAAAAGUGUAUUGUGAAGAAAAAAAGGCAGAAAGGAAAUUGGAAUUCUGAAAAAUUUCAGGAAAAAAAAUCUGAAUUUUGAGAAAAAGAUUCUGAUAAAAGUCAGAAUUCUUGAGAGAACCAAAUUGAAAUUCUGUAAUAUGCCAGAAAAAAGUCGUAAUUCUAUGAACAUUUUUUGAAAUUCUGAGAAAGAUGGUUGAAAAAGUUGGAAUUCUGGAGAAAAAUGAUUGCAAAAAGUCGGAAUUUCGAGAAAAAACUAUUUAUUUGGAAAAAAGAAAGUCGAAAAAAAAGUUGGGAUUCUGAGAAAAAGAUCUGAAUUCUCAGAACGCGUAGAAAGAAAAGAACACGUGGCCCGAAUCCUCCUCUGUGCUUUUCCCCGCAUCAUGGAUACCAUUUCUAUUUUUUACUUUUUGCCGUUUCCUUCUCAUCACUGCCGUCGCCAUUUUGUCCCCGGCUAGAGUUUGCACUUUUAUUUUCAUUUCUUCAUGUGGUUCUAAUGCAAAAAGACAAGACAGGCGCUUGUGAGUGUGUGAAUGCUGAGUGUAUUUUCUAGAGUGUGUGUUCUGUGAGUGUGUGACUUUAAAGAAGAAGACAGUGCUUUAUGGGUGAGUAUUUUUGAGCACAGGUUUCUGAUUCAUCUGAAGAACAGAAAACAAACUGGUUUGGAGUUUUUGGGGGUGUGUUCCAACAUCACAUUAGUGUAAAUACCGAGGCCAAAACAUCAGAUUCAGGAACUCAUGUCGGACAGCAGUACAGAACUUUUUUAUGUUUUAUCAGUGGCCUUUCUUUCUCUACUUUUUUACUUAAAUGGGAUUCCCAUCAUCAUCACGCAGACGUUCAGAUCUACUGUUCAACUAUCGUAAAACCAAUGAUUGAAGACUUAGAACCUGGACUUCUACUGAAAAAUAAAGCGUGCAAUAUUAGCCUACACCCGUUUGGUUUGACACUGUAAAUACAAUUUAAUUUUAUAUAAACAACUUGUUGUCAUCACAUUAAGACCAAAGACUAAUCAGCAUCUUGUUUUCAGAUAUUUACCUCAAGGCUUUCGCGAGAAAAACCAUCAAAUAACGACUUUUUUCAACUGUUUUUGUUUACGGUUAAGCACUAGCGAUGAUGAUUUGACAGCUAACAAUUAAUUAAUUAAUAUUAAAGACAUUAAAAUAACAUUUGCACCCGAUAACAACAGCUCCUUCUUCUUCCCCCAAAUCUAGCAUCUAGAAACUACCAUCAAUUUGCGCCACUGUACGCUACAAAACAUUACCAUAAUUUACGUAGGCUACGAACUCGGGACAAACAGUGGGCAGAGUGGUGCAGGAAUGAGUCCUAAAACCUAGCAUUGAGUCAGCAUUUUAGCGCCUCUUGUUCCCUGGGCUUUAAGUCAAUGGCUUUCUGAAUGUGUUUUUGGUUGUGAGGCUGAAAUAAGAGAUUUUAACUUAACGGCGGUUGCUAACAAGAGUCUAAACGUCAUCAUGCCCAACGUUAGCCACCUUUAGCUUAGCGGUGGAUACGUGAAUAUAUAUAGAAAAUACAUCAUCCCAGCACCACUCUACUUCUCAAGGCGUUAGGUCGACUUCAACAUCUAAAAUUAAACAUUAAAAACCACAAAUGUAGUUGGCUAAUCUGCACGUUUGCAAAGAUAAGUGGGCGGACACAAAGGGGGCGGAGCUUAACUAACUGACACCUUCCAUUUAAACACAAUCAUCAUGCACAAAAACCAAAUCAAUGACUUUCUGGCUGUUUUUUUGUUGUUUUUUUUUACAAACAGCUGCUUUUCAAACUCUCUUUUUUUUAUGACGACUCAUAACUCCUUUCCGUGGCGCUGUUUGAAAACAGGAGGGGGAGAAUAUAUAUCACGACAAAGGGUUAGGGUCUAACAUCUGCUUAUUGAACACCACCUGAAACUCAGAGUGUUUUAUAACCGCUGUCAGAGGAAAAUAGCAGAUUUGUUCGCGUUAAAACACGUCCGGACACUUUCACCCCUUCCUACUUUAUUUUUGAUGACGAUAAACAGGUGUUUUUGAGACAGGUGACCUAUCAUGAGAAUCCAAAUCACUCCGUAUCAUAUCCGUCUGUAAUUCCUGUAACUACUGUUGUUUUGAUUACAUUUGAAAUAAUAAACAAUGUUGUUCAAAUCAGAAAUCA